GCCCAGAUGGCGGAAUUGGUAGACGCGUUGGUCUCAAACACCAAUGGGGAAACCCGUGCCGGUUCGACCCCGGCUCUGGGUACAA
rnacentral:tRNA from 1 species